rnacentral:sRNA from 1 species
UCACUGGAAACUAUGAAGAUUGGCCUAC